rnacentral:snRNA from 1 species
ACUUCUCUCAACGGUGAUGACAAU